ensembl:lncRNA
AACAUCCCACACUGUAGUUUGGAUGUUAACUGCCACCCAGUUGGGCUCUAAGCCUGUUCCUUUGAUCUUCUCAGAGUUACUGGGAACUACUUAAUAACGUUUAAUAGAAUCCUUUUCUGACUGAAUGGUCUCAUACUCUUUUGUUUACAACUAAGAAUGCUGAGAGUUUUACAGAUGGAGAAUUUUUUUUAAACAAGCAUUUUUAUUCAGUACCACCGUCUUGUAACUUUACCUGUGCCAGAGAUUUGCAUUUAAUUCUUAAAGGACUUAUUCUUUUUUUUUUCCUCUGUGUGUUUCUAAAACACAUUUGAGGAGAUUUAAACAACUUUAAACAGUUUGACAUGAUAUCUGGAGAGUGAUUCAGAAAGGCAGAAGUACCCUGGGUGCCCAUGAGCAUUGUGAAUCAACGCUCAUAAAAUUUUUUUAAAAAAGAAUAAAGUGAGGGGCGCCUGGGUGGCGCAGUCGGUUAAGCGUCGGACUUCAGCCAGGUCACGAUCUCGCGGUCCGUGAGUUCGAGCCCCGUGUCAGGCUCUGGGCUGAUGGCUCAGAGCCUGGAACCUGUUUCCAAUUCUGUGUCUCCCUCUCUCUCUGCCCUCCCCCGUUCAUGCUCUGUCUCUCUCUGUCCCAAAAAUAAAUAAAAAACGUUGAAAAAAAAUUUAAAAAAAAGAAUAAAGUGAAUAGUAACAAUAAAAUAGAGGGAGGCUGAGGAAGGAGAGCAACAGAAGAACAUGAAGAGUGUUGUAGCGCAAAUAUAAAACUGUGCUUAAUCUAGACUUGUAUUUUGUAUACAGAGCAAGGAGCCCAAAGUACUGCACAGUGUGGAGGGAAGAUUAAAGUUAAUACUGAAGGACAAGGGAGGAUAACAUGGAGUGAACAUCUGAGGAAGGACUGGAGGAAAAAGCAGAUUGCAAAUCUCAAGGUAGAGGCCUUCUUCAGAGAAACCACGGAGCUCAGGCCUGGAUGUGAGAGGGAACAGGACCACGCCUUCAGCAGGAGUGAACCUCCCAGGGUGCAGGAGCCUUCCUUGAAGUGUAAUCUUGCCAAAGCCAAAACACACACAAACAGAAAUCAACAAUAUGUGCAUUACGCCUGUUAUCCUUCCAUCUGGACUCUGAAAGCUUCCCAUUUGCUUAUGAAGAUCCUGAAGCCAUUCUGGCUUUAAGCAAAUAUUUGCUAAACACCUCCAAGAUCUAGGGACCAACAGAUGAAGACAUCCUUCUUGUUUUCUCAACAGAAAUGAACUCGACACACAGUUCAGUUUAAAUCAGGAGACAUUUGUGGGGAAUCUGCUAUGUGCCAGAUACUCUUUUAGAGUUGGGGAGAGUGGAAGUAUAAGAAUGCUUUGAGCUGUGAGGAAAGGAAGUCUAUCCAGAAGCUAGAAAGAAAAGUGUACACUUCAAUUAUAUAUAUAUAUUAUAUAUAUAUAUAUAUAUAUAUAUAUAUAUUAUAUAUAUAUAUAUAUAUAUAUAUAUAUAUAUUAUAUAUAUAUAUUAUAGAUCUUAAAAGACCUGGCCAGCGACUAAAGGAGAUUGGUAGCAUGCAUGAUGUCUGGCAGACAGUCUGAAUCAGACUAAUGAUUCAUGACCCCAGAGUCACAGAAGUUCCAAAGAGGAUGUUAUUUGGACAUAGCAAAAACUCCUCCAAAUCAUAAUCAUACACUACCUCCUUCAGGACAUUUGAGACUAUAUUAAAUUUAAUUUUAAUUCACUAUUUUUUAAAUUUAUUUUUCAGUCAGUAGUUUUUAUUAAUUAUAAGAAUUAUUAUUGCCUUUAAGGAUUUAUUUUAUUUAAGGUUGAUUUUUUGAGGGGUGGAGGGAGACACAGGAUCCAAAGCAGGAUCCAGGCUCUGAGCUGUCAGCACAGAGCCUGGUGCAGGGCUCAAACUCACAGAGGGUGAGAUCAUAGCCUGAGCUGAAGUCGGAUGCUUAAUCAACUGAGCCACCCAAGUGCCCCACCAUUAAGGAAGGCUUUAAACUCUCAACAAAAAUGUAAUCCAUCUAGUCAGGAGUUAGAUUUGGUUGUGCAAUGGUAUGAAUUUCAAGACCUUCAGUAAGAUAUAAAGGAAUUGUUUUUAGCAUUCUGUGUAAAACUGUUUUGUUAAAUAUGUGUGUACAAGAAAAGAGAUUGAUUUCUAAAUAAAAUCAAGGUUUUUAAAGGAAGGAGGAAGGUG